GGUUAAGCGACUAAGCGUACACGGUGGAUGCCCUGGCAGUCAGAGGCGAUGAAGGACGUGCUAAUCUGCGAAAAGCGUCGGUAAGGUGAUAUGAACCGUUAUAACCGGCGAUGUCCGAAUGGGGAAACCCAGUGCAAUUCGUUGCACUAUCGUUAACUGAAUACAUAGGUUAACGAGGCGAACCGGGGGAACUGAAACAUCUAAGUACCCCGAGGAAAAGAAAUCAACCGAGAUUCCCCCAGUAGCGGCGAGCGAACGGGGAGCAGCCCAGAGUCUGAAUCAGCUUGUGUGUUAGUGGAACGGUCUGGAAAGUCCGACGGUACAGGGUGAUAGUCCCGUACACCAAAAUGCACAGGUUGUGAACUCGAAGAGUAGGGCGGGACACGUGGUAUCCUGUCUGAAUAUGGGGGGACCAUCCUCCAAGGCUAAAUACUCCUGACUGACCGAUAGUGAACCAGUACCGUGAGGGAAAGGCGAAAAGAACCCCGGCGAGGGGAGUGAAAAAGAACCUGAAACCGUGUACGUACAAGCAGUGGGAGCACCUUCGGGUGUGACUGCGUACCUUUUGUAUAAUGGGUCAGCGACUUAUAUUCUGUAGCAAGGUUAACCGUAUAGGGGAGCCGCAGGGAAACCGAGUCUUAACUGGGCGUUAAGUUGCAGGGUAUAGACCCGAAACCCGGUGAUCUAGCCAUGGGCAGGUUGAAGGUUGGGUAACACUAACUGGAGGACCGAACCGACUAAUGUUGAAAAAUUAGCGGAUGACUUGUGGCUGGGGGUGAAAGGCCAAUCAAACCGGGAGAUAGCUGGUUCUCCCCGAAAGCUAUUUAGGUAGCGCCUCGUGAACUCAUCUUCGGGGGUAGAGCACUGUUUCGGCUAGGGGGUCAUCCCGACUUACCAACCCGAUGCAAACUACGAAUACCGAAGAAUGUUAUCACGGGAGACACACGGCGGGUGCUAACGUCCGUCGUGAAGAGGGAAACAACCCAGACCGCCAGCUAAGGUCCCAAAGUCAUGGUUAAGUGGGAAACGAUGUGGGAAGGCACAGACAGCCAGGAUGUUGGCUUAGAAGCAGCCAUCAUUUAAAGAAAGCGUAAUAGCUCACUGGUCGAGUCGGCCUGCGCGGAAGAUGUAACGGGGCUAAACCAUGCACCGAAGCUGCGGCAGCGACACUAUGUGUUGUUGGGUAGGGGAGCGUUCUGUAAGCCUGCGAAGGUGACCUGUGAGGGUUGCUGGAGGUAUCAGAAGUGCGAAUGCUGACAUAAGUAACGAUAAAGCGGGUGAAAAGCCCGCUCGCCGGAAGACCAAGGGUUCCUGUCCAACGUUAAUCGGGGCAGGGUGAGUCGACCCCUAAGGCGAGGCCGAAAGGCGUAGUCGAUGGGAAACAGGUUAAUAUUCCUGUACUUGGUGUUACUGCGAAGGGGGGACGGAGAAGGCUAUGUUAGCCGGGCGACGGUUGUCCCGGUUUAAGCAUGUAGGCUGGUUAUCCAGGCAAAUCCGGAUAAUCAAGGCUGAGGUGUGAUGACGAGGCACUACGGUGCUGAAGUAACAAAUGCCCUGCUUCCAGGAAAAGCCUCUAAGCAUCAGGUAACAUCAAAUCGUACCCCAAACCGACACAGGUGGUCAGGUAGAGAAUACCAAGGCGCUUGAGAGAACUCGGGUGAAGGAACUAGGCAAAAUGGUGCCGUAACUUCGGGAGAAGGCACGCUGGUGUGUAGGUGAAGCCCCUGCGGGUGGAGCUGAGACCAGUCGAAGAUACCAGCUGGCUGCAACUGUUUAUUAAAAACACAGCACUGUGCAAACACGAAAGUGGACGUAUACGGUGUGACGCCUGCCCGGUGCCGGAAGGUUAAUUGAUGGGGUUAUCCGUAAGGAGAAGCUCUUGAUCGAAGCCCCGGUAAACGGCGGCCGUAACUAUAACGGUCCUAAGGUAGCGAAAUUCCUUGUCGGGUAAGUUCCGACCUGCACGAAUGGCGUAAUGAUGGCCAGGCUGUCUCCACCCGAGACUCAGUGAAAUUGAACUCGCUGUGAAGAUGCAGUGUACCCGCGGCAAGACGGAAAGACCCCGUGAACCUUUACUAUAGCUUGACACUGAACAUUGAGCCUUGAUGUGUAGGAUAGGUGGGAGGCUUUGAAGCGUGGACGCCAGUCUGCGUGGAGCCAACCUUGAAAUACCACCCUUUAAUGUUUGAUGUUCUAACGUUGGCCCCUGACCGGGGUUGCGGACAGUGUCUGGUGGGUAGUUUGACUGGGGCGGUCUCCUCCCAAAGCGUAACGGAGGAGCACGAAGGUUAGCUAAUCCUGGUCGGACAUCAGGAGGUUAGUGCAAUGGCAUAAGCUAGCUUGACUGCGAGCGUGACGGCGCGAGCAGGUGCGAAAGCAGGUCAUAGUGAUCCGGUGGUUCUGAAUGGAAGGGCCAUCGCUCAACGGAUAAAAGGUACUCCGGGGAUAACAGGCUGAUACCGCCCAAGAGUUCAUAUCGACGGCGGUGUUUGGCACCUCGAUGUCGGCUCAUCACAUCCUGGGGCUGAAGUAGGUCCCAAGGGUAUGGCUGUUCGCCAUUUAAAGUGGUACGCGAGCUGGGUUUAGAACGUCGUGAGACAGUUCGGUCCCUAUCUGCCGUGGGCGCUGGAGAAUUGAGGGGGGCUGCUCCUAGUACGAGAGGACCGGAGUGGACGCAUCACUGGUGUUCGGGUUGUCAUGCCAAUGGCACUGCCCGGUAGCUAAAUGCGGAAGAGAUAAGUGCUGAAAGCAUCUAAGCACGAAACUUGCCCCGAGAUGAGUUCUCCCUGAGACUUUAAGUCUCCUGAAGGAACGUUAAAGACGAUGACGUUGAUAGGCCGGGUGUGUAAGCGCAGCGAUGCGUUGAGCUAACCGGUACUAAUGAACCGUGAGGCUUAACCUU
rnacentral:rRNA from 1 species